rnacentral:rRNA from 1 species
UACAGAGGUCCCAAGCGUUGUUCGGAUUCACUGGGCGUAAAGGGUGCGUAGGUGGUCAGGUAAGUCUGAUGUGAAAAGCUCUGGGCUCAACCCAGAAAUGGCAUUGGAUACUAUCUGGCUAGAGGAAUGGAGGGGGGACUGGAAUACUUGGUGUAGCAGUGAAAUGCGUAGAUAUCAAGUGGAACACCAGUGGCGAAGGCGAGUCCCUGGACAUUUCCUGACACUGAGGCACGAAAGCUAGGGGAGCAAACAGG